CCCUCCGAUGUACGAAAAAGUCCUAUAGUUUUGAGCCAACACUCUCUAUAAGGGAGCCCGUGUACUCCGGCCGUUGAUGAUAUGCCCUUGCGAGGGGACAUCAGAAGUGACAGGGAGGGCACCCACCUGCAUAUGCAGGUUCAAAACAGGGGACCAAAACGGCAUUGUAGGGCU
rnacentral:other from 1 species